rnacentral:rRNA from 1 species
AGAGUUUGAUCCUGGCUCAGGAUGAACGCUAGCGGCAGGCUUAACACAUGCAAGUCGAGGGGCAGCAUGUCCAGCAAUGGAUGAUGGCGACCGGCGGAAGGGUGCGUAACGCGUGAGCAACAUGCCCUAUACAGGGAGAUACACCAGGGAAACUUGGUCUAAUAUCCCAUAGCAUUCAUUGAAGGCAUCUUUAAUGAAUUAAAGCUUCGGUGGUAUAGGAUUGGCUCGCGUGACAUUAGCCAGAUGGUGAGGUAACGGCUCACCAUAGCAAUGAUGUCUAGGGGUUUUGAGAGGAAGGCCCCCCACACUGGGACUGAGACACGGCCCAGACUCCUACGGGAGGCAGCAGUGAGGAAUAUUGGACAAUGGAUGGAAAUCUGAUCCAGCCAUGCCGCGUGCAGGAAGACGGCCUUAUGGGUUGUAAACUGCUUUUAUACGGGAGCAAUAAGGGUUACGAGUAAUCCGAUGAGAGUACUGUAUGAAUAAGGAUCGGCUAACUCCGUGCCAGCAGCCGCGGUAAUACGGAGGAUCCUAGCGUUAUUCGGAUUUAUUGGGUUUAAAGGGAGCGUAGGCGGGGGGUCAAGUCAGCUGUGAAAUACGUACGCUUAACGUUCGUCUUGCAGUUGAAACUGGUUUUCUUGAGUGCGUAUGAGGCAGGCGGAAUUCGUGGUGUAGCGGUGAAAUGCUUAGAUAUCUGGAGGAACACCAAUGGCGAAGGCAGCCAUCUGGAUCAGUACUGACGCUGAGGCGCGAAGGUGCGGGGAGCAAACAGGUUUAGAUACCCUGGUAGUCCGCACAGUAAACGAUGUGCACUAGGUGUCGGGCAGUCAAUGUUCGGUACCGCAGCAAACGCGUUAAGUGCACCGCCUGGGGAGUAUGCCCGCAAGGGUGAAACUCAAAGGAGUUGACGGGGGCCUGCACAAGCGGUGGAGCAUGUGGUUUAAUUCGAUGAUACGCGAGAAACCUUACCAGGACUUGACAUGGACAGGAAUGGUCGUGAAAGCGAUCAGCUUUUCGGAGUCUGUUCACAGGUGCUGCAUGGCUGUCGUCAGCUCGUGCUGUGAAGUGUUGGGUUAAGUCCCGCAACGAGCGCAACCCCUGCUGUCUGUUGCUACCAAGUGAAGUUGGGCACUCAGACGGGACCGCCGGUGACAAACCGGAGGAAGGUGGGGAGGACGUCAAGUCAUCAUGGCCCUUAUGUCUUGGGGUACACACGUGCUACAAUGGCCGGUACAGAGCGCAGCGAAGCCGAGAGGCCAAGCGAAUCGCAAAAAGCCGGUCCCAGCACGGAUUGGAGUCUGCAACUCGACUCCAUGAAGUUGGAAUCGCUAGUAAUCGCGCAUCAGCAUGGCGCGAUGAAUCCGUUCCCAGGCCUUGUACUCACCGCCCGUCA